rnacentral:rRNA from 1 species
UACGGGGGGAGCAAGGCGUUGUUCGGAUUUACUGGGCGUAAAGGGCGCGUAGGCGGUCAGCAGCAAGUCAGUUGUGAAAUCUCCGGGCUUAACUCGGAAGGUCAACUGAUACUGUGCGACUAGAGUGCGGAAGGGGCAACUGGAAGUUCUCGGUUGUAGCGGUGAAAUGACGUAGAUAUCGAGAGGAACAGCCUGCGGCGAAGGCGGGUUGCUGGGCCGACACUGACGCUGAUGCGCGAAAGCCAGGGGAGCGAACGGG